AUCCAGAUGACGAGUCCCGAAUAGAACUAGAUGCGCAUCCUGGAU
rnacentral:hammerhead_ribozyme from 1 species